UUAACUGGGCGUUAAGUUGCAGGGUAUAGACCCGAAACCCGGUGAUCUAGCCAUGGGCAGGUUGAAGGUUGGGUAACACUAACUGGAGGACCGAACCGACUAAUGUUGAAAAAUUAGCGGAUGACUUGUGGCUGGGGGUGAAAGGCCAAUCAAACCGGGAGAUAGCUGGUUCUCCCCGAAAGCUAUUUAGGUAGCGCCUCGUGAAUUCAUCUUCGGGGGUAGAGCACUGUUUCGGCUAG
rnacentral:rRNA from 1 species